AUAGAAAACUUUGUACACAAUGAUUUAUUGCAUAUUAAGAUUGGAUAGCUAAAUUUUAAUUGCUAUACAAAAUAUGAUAUUAGCAUUAGGAGACCGCACCAAAACGUACCGAAUUGAAUGUGCCUUUUCACAGCCAUUGUACAAGCUUUGAAGCUUUAGCACAAAUGCUUUUUCAAACCCAUGAACAUGAUGCACCCGAGAGAUGCAAGAUAUGAAAUUGUUACUACAACAGGCAUUGAAACAUUUGUUAAGAAAGGAAGUUUAUGAAAAUACGCCUUAACAAUCAUUAGAUACUCGUCUUCAGGAAUCAAUUCCUCUGUAAUAACAAUUUUCAAAAAGCAUCAACUGCUUUAAGCUCCUCAACAUCACAUAGAUCUUCAAUUAAAAUAGGGCAGAUCCGGCCAUCACUAUUCCUUCCACUGCUCUUUUGCUUUAGAGAACGCUUGAAUUACAGAAUGCGUGUAAGGCUCUCUUGUUCAAGGUCCAGCGAUCAAACCUUGCACAAUAACAACAGAGUUAGUAGUUCCAUCGCCAGCCUAAUCCUUGGACUCGCCAAUGUUCUCCAAUUAACAGAGGUAGUAGGAAAUCAACCAAAAAAUAAGAAUGAGUUUGAAAAACUGUUUAUGGCCCUAAAGAACUUGAAAAUCAGAAAUGAUCAAGAAUGAGUGACUAAACAUUUUAAUCGACUAAACAUACAAAACUUGAAAAACCUAAUAUUGAAGUACUCUGAAUGAACAUGCAAUUGCACGAGCUGGUGACAACUGACUUUACUGCAAACCCUUGGAGAUGAUACUCUACAUACCAUGAUAACCUGAUAGCUGAUAUCUCAUGUUUGCAUGUAGUCCAAUGAAAGCAGAAGCACCAUAACCAAGCACAUUAGUACUCACAGAUGGGUUUGCCACAGAUAACCUGUCAGGCAUUAAAAAUUGCCCAAAUUAAACAAAUGUUAGACCGGCUUAGACAGUAAACGGAACAAUAUUCUAAUUUUACUUUAUUUAUAACGAAUAAGUGAACAAAGGAAUGAAAAGGAAGUUUGGCAACAGUCUUUUUACCAGCCAGAUAGUUUGACAAAGAAUCUUGCACUGCUCCUGCAGCUAAUCCCACCAUACACAACUCUGUUCAAAUAUACUGUUUGGGAGCUUUUGUAAUGUAUUUUGCAAGUCAAACAGGAAGGUAUUUCCAUAAGAAGGUUCACUUCACAUGCUCAACAAUUCAAAUUUGCAGAUGAUAUUUCUCAAAAUGAAGGGCUCUAUUUGGCUUGCCAACAAUCUUCCUCACCGCUAUCAUCCUUGCUAUACCGGUUAAACUGAACAGUCUUCAUUCUGACAUUUGCCCUAUUAACCUGAGUACACAAGAAUCCGAAACAACUGUUAGAAAUUAUAAUCUUUAUAUAUAGCCAAAAUGUUGAAUAAGAUGAUGUACUUGAUAAUAAAUACCUGAGUUAAUAAAUAAUUAAGGGGCCGGUAACAAUCUCAGCAUCUUAUCAAGUGGGGAAAGCCUACGCAACGAAGAUGCUGCUUGCUUUCAAGCAGUAAUAACUUUCCAAUUCCAUAAGGUAGCUUAAUGCCCUUUUAAAAAUAUCUCCACCAGCCUAACAAUUAUUCAUGGAAAUUCAAUUUGCAUUUGUCGCCUUCAAUUUGCUCAUCUUUGUCCAGAGUAUUGUUUUUGCAUUUACUUAGCUAGCCUACAAGCCACCUGCAGAUGGUUUUAAAUAAUGUGUGAGAGUGUGAAUUCGAACGAAUUAAUCAAAUAUGAUGACACGAGAAACAAAAUUAAAAUAACCACAAGAAGUAGAAAUAUACUUUUGUUAUAUUUAGUGCAUCUUCUGUGUGUGCUCAAACGCAAUGCCUCAAGGCUCAAGAUAAUUUUAUGACCAUCAAUCUUUUGCCGCCAUAUGCAGACUUGAAACAUUGGCGGUGGUUCUAAGGAACUUGAAAAUUAGAAAAGUUUCAAAAUGAGUGACUAAAUAUGAUAAUCGAAACUAAUUAAAUAUACAUGCCUUGUAAAUAUGAAGCUAAAUUACUCAAAUGUAUGUGCCUCUUCGCAGCAAUUGCUCGUGGUGGAAACUUUACUGCAAAGACUUCCUCAAACCCUUGAAGAUCACACUCUUCCUGGCAACAAAGAAACAGAGACGAUAUACGAAGAUGAUUUUACUAACAAGUGAGAGCUUGCAAAUAUUGGAAGGAUAACGAUUGCUCAUAACCCGAAUCCCCAAUACCCUCUAAUAUCUCACUCGAGUGAGUUCAAGCUCCCAAAAUUCACUACAGUGAAACUCUCAAAACAAAAUUCUCUUCAAAUAUUCUCAACUCAAAUUUGAUGAUGACAUCUCUCGAAGGAAGGCAAAAAAUCUAACACUGAUCAAAUUGGCUUGUGAACAAUUAAUGUUCCUGGCCAUCAUUCAUACUAGGUGUGGCGAACAAUUAAGCUGCUUAGUAUCCUGAACCUGAUAACUUACACAAACAAAAACAACUUGCCUAAAGUUUAAUAUUUAGAGGCAGAACAGUAAAGAAGAAGAUAUAUAUUGAUACUAAAAUUUGACCUGCGUUACCCUGAUGUCAAGAAUAGCAGGAUCUCAUGUGGGCAAAAUCAUCGCAAUACGAGAUGCUUGCAAAAUUGAAGCAGCAUCUUAUCACCUGUAAUUUAAUUAAGAUAAUAACUUUCCCCGACUAUUUCAAUGCAUUAUUGGCAACUAAAUUCAGAGGGCGCUAAUUAAAUACCCUUUUAACAAUAUCUUCUUAUUCUUCUCUAAUCUAGCAGUUAUUUGGAAAAUCUAAAUGACAGUCAUGCAUCAAUGGCGUCAAAAUUUGGCUACAAAGCAGCCUAGAAAAGGCUUCACCCUCAGAAUGAGAGCAUGAAUUCGAAUAAUAUGAUGAAUGAAGAAACAAAGGCAUAAUACCACAAGAAGUCAAACUUUUCCCCAGAGCUCUGUUUCUGUUUGUGCUAAAGCAAAUGGAAACCAGUGGAAAUGAAUUUCUACGAACUAGACAUAUCAGCCAAAACAGGUACUCUGUACAAGCAAAGUAAAAGAGAGUUACAACAAAAUUUAAGAUUGAUAUGAUAAUUAAAAUUUCAGUCACCAUAUAAUUAAUAGAAAACUUUGUACACAAUGAUUUAUUGCAUAUUAAGAUUGGAUAGCUAAAUUUUAAUUGCUAUACAAAAUAUGAUAUUAGCAUUAGGAGACCGCACCAAAACGUACCGAAUUGAAUGUGCCUUUUCACAGCCAUUGUACAAGCUUUGAAGCUUUAGCACAAAUGCUUUUUCAAACCCAUGAACAUGAUGCACCCGAGAGAUGCAAGAUAUGAAAUUGUUACUACAACAGGCAUUGAAACAUUUGUUAAGAAAGGAAGUUUAUGAAAAUACGCCUUAACAAUCAUUAGAUACUCGUCUUCAGGAAUCAAUUCCUCUGUAAUAACAAUUUUCAAAAAGCAUCAACUGCUUUAAGCUCCUCAACAUCACAUAGAUCUUCAAUUAAAAUAGGGCAGAUCCGGCCAUCACUAUUCCUUCCACUGCUCUUUUGCUUUAGAGAACGCUUGAAUUACAGAAUGCGUGUAAGGCUCUCUUGUUCAAGGUCCAGCGAUCAAACCUUGCACAAUAACAACAGAGUUAGUAGUUCCAUCGCCAGCCUAAUCCUUGGACUCGCCAAUGUUCUCCAAUUAACAGAGGUAGUAGGAAAUCAACCAAAAAAUAAGAAUGAGUUUGAAAAACUGUUUAUGGCCCUAAAGAACUUGAAAAUCAGAAAUGAUCAAGAAUGAGUGACUAAACAUUUUAAUCGACUAAACAUACAAAACUUGAAAAACCUAAUAUUGAAGUACUCUGAAUGAACAUGCAAUUGCACGAGCUGGUGACAACUGACUUUACUGCAAACCCUUGGAGAUGAUACUCUACAUACCAUGAUAACC
rnacentral:lncRNA from 1 species